rnacentral:rRNA from 1 species
GAUGAACGCUGGCGGCGUGCCUAAUACAUGCAAGUCGAGCGAACAGAUAAGGAGCUUGCUCCUUUGACGUUAGCGGCGGACGGGUGAGUAACACGUGGGUAACCUACCUAUAAGACUGGAAUAACUCCGGGAAACCGGGGCUAAUGCCGGAUAACAUUUAGAACCGCAUGGUUCUAAAGUGAAAGAUGGUUUUGCUAUCACUUAUAGAUGGACCCGCGCCGUAUUAGCUAGUUGGUAAGGUAACGGCUUACCAAGGCAACGAUACGUAGCCGACCUGAGAGGGUGAUCGGCCACACUGGAACUGAGACACGGUCCAGACUCCUACGGGAGGCAGCAGUAGGGAAUCUUCCGCAAUGGGCGAAAGCCUGACGGAGCAACGCCGCGUGAGUGAUGAAGGUCUUCGGAUCGUAAAACUCUGUUAUUAGGGAAGAACAAAUGUGUAAGUAACUGUGCACGUCUUGACGGUACCUAAACAGAAAGCCACGGCUAACUACGUG